rnacentral:rRNA from 1 species
AGUGAGCGCUGGCGGUAGGCCUAACACAUGCAAGUCGAACGGCAGCACAGUAAGAGCUUGCUCUUACGGGUGGCGAGUGGCGGACGGGUGAGGAAUACAUCGGAAUCUACUUUUUCGUGGGGGAUAACGUAGGGAAACUUACGCUAAUACCGCAUACGACCUACGGGUGAAAGCAGGGGAUCUUCGGACCUUGCGCGAUUGAAUGAGCCGAUGUCGGAUUAGCUAGUUGGCGGGGUAAAGGCCCACCAAGGCGACGAUCCGUAGCUGGUCUGAGAGGAUGAUCAGGCAAACUGGAAAUGAGACAAGGUCCAGACUCCUACGGGAGGCAGCAGUGGGGAAUAUUGGACAAAGGGCGCAAGCCUGAUCCAGCCAUACCGCGUGGGUGAAGAAGGCCUUCGGGUUGUAAAGCCCUUUUGUUGGGAAAGAAAAGCAGCAGGUUAAUACCCCGCUGUUCUGACGGUACCCAAAGAAUAAGCACCGGCUAACUUCGUG